rnacentral:antisense_RNA from 1 species
CUUCACGGACCCCAGCCACAACGGCCGGCCCGCCUCCCGCUCCUGUCCGUACGUCGCCAGCAGCGCCUGCGCCUC